rnacentral:rRNA from 1 species
AGUGAACGCUGGCGGUAGGCCUAACACAUGCAAGUCGAACGGCAGCACAGGAGAGCUUGCUCUCUGGGUGGCGAGUGGCGGACGGGUGAGGAAUACAUCGGAAUCUACUCUGUCGUGGGGGAUAACGUAGGGAAACUUACGCUAAUACCGCAUACGAGCUACGGGUGAAAGCUAGGGACCGCAAGGCCUGGCACUUGAAGAGGAGCCCGCGUCCGAUUAGCUAGUUGGCGGGGUAAUGGCCCACCAAGGCGACGGUCGGUAGCCGGCCUGAGAGGGCGGACGGCCACACUGGGACUGAGACACGGCCCAGACUCCUACGGGAGGCAGCAGUGGGGAAUUGUUCGCAAUGGGCGCAAGCCUGACGACGCAACGCCGCGUGGGGGAUGAAGGUCUUCGGAUCGUAAACCCCUGUCGAACGGGACGAAAGACUCGCGAUUUAAUACCUCGCGAGAGUGACGGUACCGUUAAAGGAAGCCACGGCUAACUCUGUGCCAGCCGCCGCAGUAA